GGAUUAGAUACCCUGGUAGUCUAUGCCGUAAACUUUGUACACUUGGUGUCGGGGGUCAAACCUCGGUACCGAAGCUAACGCGAUAAGUGUACCGCCUGGGGAGUAUGCCGGCAACGGUGAAACUCAAAGGAAUUGACGGGGGCCCGCACAAGCGGUGGAGCAUGUGGUUUAAUUCGACGAUACGCGAGGAACCUUACCAGGGUUUGACAUAUAAGUGACUGUUCUAGAGAUAGUUCUUUACCUUCGGGUACACUUAUACAGGUGCUGCAUGGCUGUCGUCAGCUCGUGCUG
rnacentral:rRNA from 1 species